rnacentral:tRNA from 1 species
GGCAGUGUAGCAUAGUGGUUAAGGAGCAGGACUCGUAACCGAAAGGUUGCUGGUUCGAUCCCUGCUGGAACACUGCUG